GACGAACGCUGGCGGCGUGCUUAACACAUGCAAGUCGAGCGGUAAGGCCCUUUCGGGGGUACACGAGCGGCGAACGGGUGAGUAACACGUGGGUGACCUGCCCUCAGCUCUGGGAUAAGCCUGGGAAACUGGGUCUAAUACCGGGUAUGACUCCAUGACGCAUGUUGUGGGGUGGAAAGCCUUGUGCGGCUAGGGAUGGGCCCG
rnacentral:rRNA from 1 species